GGCAAGAUGGCCGAGUUGGUCUAAGGCGCUAGCUUCAGGAGACAGUCUUCGGACUGCGACUUGAUCUUGCUAGUCUCGUAAGAGGCGUGGGUUCGAAUCCCACUCUUGUCA
rfam:Magnaporthe oryzae 70-15 chromosome 5, whole genome shotgun sequence.